AGAGUUUGAUCCUGGCUCAGAAUCAACGCUGGCGGCGUGCCUAACACAUGCAAGUCGCACGAGAAAGGGAUUUCGGUCCUGAGUAAAGUGGCGCACGGGUGAGUAACACGUGACUAACCUGCCCUCGAGUGGGGAAUAACCUAGGGAAACCUGGGCUAAUACCGCAUAACACUUACGAGUCAAAGCAGCAAUGCGCUUGGGGAGGGGGUCGCGGCAGAUUAGCUAGUUGGCGGGGUAAUGGCCCACCAAGGCGAUGAUCUGUAUCCGGCCUGAGAGGGCGCACGGACACACUGGAACUGAAACACGGUCCAGACUCCUACGGGAGGCAGCAGUGGGGAAUUUUGCGCAAUGGGGGAAACCCUGACGCAGCAACGCCGCGUGGAGGAUGAAGUCUCUUGGGACGUAAACUCCUUUCGAUCGGGACGAUAAUGACGGUACCGAUAGAAGAAGCCCCGGCUAACUUCGUGCCAGCAGCCGCGGUAAUACGAGGGGGGCAAGCGUUGUUCGGAAUUAUUGGGCGUAAAGGGCGCGUAGGCGGUUUGGCAAGUUUGAUGUGAAAUCUUCGGGCUCAACUCGAAGUCUGCAUCGAAAACUGCCGGGCUUGAGUAUGGGAGAGGUGAGUGGAAUUUCCGGUGUAGCGGUGAAAUGCGUAGAUAUCGGAAGGAACACCUGUGGCGAAAGCGGCUCACUGGACCAUUACUGACGCUGAGGCGCGAAAGCUAGGGGAGCAAACAGGAUUAGAUACCCUAGUAGUCC
rnacentral:rRNA from 1 species